GACGAACGCUGGCGGCGUGCCUAAUACAUGCAAGUAGGACGCAGUUGCGAACGGGUGAGUAACGCGUAGGUAACUACCUAUUAGAGGGGGAUAACUAUUGGAAACGAUAGCUAAUACCGCAUACUAGUAGAUGGACCUGCGUUGUAUUAGCUAGUAGGUAGGGUAAUGGCCUACCUAGGCAACGAUACAUAGCCGACCUGGGAGGGUGGUCGGCCCAACUGGGAAUGGGGAACGGGCCAAACCCCUACGGGGAGGAACAGUAAGGAAUCUUCGGCAAUGGGGGGAACGCUGGCCGGGCAACGCCGCGUGAGUGAAGAAAGUUUUCGGAUCGUAAAGCUCUGGUGUUAAGGAAGCGGUACUUAACCAGAAAGGCACGGCUAACUACGUGCCAGCAGCCGCGGUAAUUC
rnacentral:rRNA from 1 species